CCUUCUCAUACCCCUAGGGUUUGGUGAUGAGUGAUACUUCGCAAGAAGUUCAUUUGAAAUGAAUUGGCAUGAGUUUUAGUUGUAAACGACAGUUUGUUUAUUCAAUGUAUUAGGUUUUACCAUCGUUGAUUGACGGCUGAUGAUUGCAGUUAAAUAUGGCUCUGCCUAACAAACUUUAUCAUAAA
rnacentral:misc_RNA from 1 species